AUGAUUCGGACUGAGCUACCUGUCCCGACACCAGAAAAUCCAUCACAGAAUUUUGCAUCUAUCUCGUUGACUCCCUUCCCUUGUAUCAUGGAAAUCGAAAAAGCAGCCUACAAUAUCCAAAAGUUCAACAGAAGCAGAAUAUCUUCAAUGGCCUCCACUGUUUGUGAGCUUCAAUGGCUAACUAGAAUUCUCACAGAACUGCACAUACCAUUCAAACAACCAACUCUUUUAUAUGUGACAACGCUUCCGCAAGACACAUUGUCAGCAACUCUUCAUUCCAUGAAAGAAUCAAACAUAUAG